rnacentral:rRNA from 1 species
AUUAUGGAGAGUUUGAUCCUGGCUCAGGACGAACGCUGGCGGCGUGCCUAAUACAUGCAAGUCGAGCGGAUUUAAGAGGAAGCUU